rnacentral:tRNA from 1 species
AGGUGUUUAACUCAGUUGGUAGAGUGUCGUGCUUACACUACGAAGGUGGAAAGUUCAAAUCUUUCAACACUUA